GGAUCAGAACGCCGCGGUGAAUACGUUCCCGGGCCUUGUACACACCGCCCGUCACACCACGAAAGCCUGUUAUACCAGAAGUCGGUGGGCUAACCGCAAGGGGGCAGCCGCCUAAGGUAUGGCCGGUGAUUGGGGUGAAGUCGUAACAAGGUAGCCGUAGGGGAACCUGCGGCUGGAUCACCUCCUUUCUAAGGAA
rnacentral:rRNA from 1 species